rnacentral:rRNA from 1 species
CCUACGGGAGGCAGCAGUGGGGGAUAUUGCACAAUGGGGGGAACCCUGAUGCAGCGACGCCGCGUGAGCGAUGGAGUACUUCGGUAUGUAAAGCUCUGUCAGCAGGGAAGAGAAUGACGGUACCUGACCAAGAAGCCCCGGCUAAAUACGUGCCAGCAGCCGCGGUAAUACGUAUGGGGCAAGCGUUAUCCGGAUUUACUGGGUGUAAAGGGAGCGUAGGCGGCAGGGCAAGCCUGAUGUGAAAGCGCGGGGCUCCACCCCGGGACUGCCUUGGGAACUGCCCCGCUCGAGUGCCGGAGGGGCAGGCGGAAUUCCUAGUGUAGCGGUGAAAUGCGUAGAUAUUAGGAGGAACACCAGUGGCGAAGGGGGGCUGCUGGACGGUGUACUGACGCUGAGGCUCGAAAGCGUGGGGAGCAAACAGGAUUAGAUACCCUGGUAGUC